rnacentral:rRNA from 1 species
AACGAACGCUGGCGGCAGGCCUAACACAUGCAAGUCGAGCGAGGACUUCGGUCCUAGCGGCGGACGGGUGAGUAACGCGUGGGAACGUGCCCUUUGCUUCGGAAUAGCCCUGGGAAACUGGGAGUAAUACCGGAUGAGCCCUUUGGGGGAAAGAUUUAUCGGCGAAGGAUCGGCCCGCGUUGGAUAGGUAGUUGGUGGGGUAAUGGCCUACCAAGCCGACGAUCCAUAGCUGGUUUGAGAGGAUGAUCAGCCACACUGGGACUGAGACACGGCCCAGACUCCUACGGGAGGCAGCAGUGGGGAAUCUUAGACAAUGGGGGAAACCCUGAUCUAGCCAUGCCGCGUGAGCGAUGAAGGCCUUAGGGUUGUAAAGCUCUUUCAGCUGGGAAGAUAAUGACGGUACCAGCAGAAGAAGCCCCGGCUAACUCCGUG